rnacentral:rRNA from 1 species
AUUGAACGCUGGCGGCAUGCCUUACACAUGCAAGUCGAACGGCAGCACGGGAACAAUCCUGGUGGCGAGUGGCGAACGGGUGAGUAAAGUAUCGGAACGUGCCCAGUCGUGGGGGAUAACGUAGCGAAAGUUACGCUAAUACCGCGUACGAUCUAUGGAUGAAAGCGGGGGAUCGCAAGACCUCGCGCGAUUGGAGCGGCCGAGAUCAGAUUAGGUAGUUGGUGGGGUAAAGGCCCACCAAGCCGACGAUCUGUAGCUGGUCUGAGAGGACGACCAGCCACACUGGGACUGAGACACGGCCCAGACUCCUACGGGAGGCAGCAGUGGGGAAUUUUGGACAAUGGGCGAAAGCCUGAUCCAGCCAUGCCGCGUGCAGGAUGAAGGCCUUCGGGUUGUAAACUGCUUUUGUACGGAACGAAAAGGACUGCCCUAAUACGGUGGUCCCAUGACGGUACCGUAAGAAUAAGCACCGGCUAACUACGUGCCAGCCGCCGCGGUAA